UGAUCGACGAUCGCACCCGCCAGCUGGCUAAUAUCAUAAUUAACAAAGUUGCUACCACGUCUGGGAAGUUUAAUCGAAAAAUUUGCCAGCAGUGUGUUGCCAUUGUCACAAAGAUCACAAGCUCUGCAGAGUCGACUUUUGCACUAGUGGGGCUGCAGAACUGUGUAGGCACUGUGAGAAGUGGUGCAAUUGAACAGCUGAA
rnacentral:lncRNA from 1 species